AAUUUUAAAACAGCUUUAUUCAGAUAGCCCUCACCUGGAGCAAACCAAAUGUCCAUCAAAGGAGAAUAAACAAAUCGUGACGUGUUCAUACCCUGGAACACCACUUAGCAACAGUGACAAAAGUAAUGAAUAGAUACACACAACGGGAGUGAAUUUCUAAAGCAUUUUGUUAGGCAAAAUAAAUCAGACACGAGUAUGUACUGUAUGAUUCCACUGACAUGAAUUUCAACAGGCAAAACCAACCCCUGGUGACAGAAAUCAGAUAGUGGUUGCUUGAAGAAGGUACAGACUCCUGGAAGGGACAAGAGAAGCUUCUUAAGGUAAGGAGAUGGAAGUGGGGUGUUGCUUACAUGUUGUAUACAGUUGUCUAAAUCAUUGAAUUUUACACUUAAGGUCUGUGCAUUUUGCUGAAUUUAAUCGUAUCUCAAUUUAAAUUUUAACUAUUGAAUGAGGGGAAAAGGUCGAACUUAAUAUGUCCUGAAGUGGAAUACUCUCCAACUAAAUUAAGGAGGAGGAGUGGAAACAAGGGCAGGAAAUGUAUGUAGUUUACUCCCGGUUUGACAAAGAGGACAUGAUUCUAGCACCUAAACUUGCAGACGGUCUGCCCUCCGAAUCUGUGAGUUCUGCAUCUAUGGAUUCAACCAGUCACCAUACAGGACCACGGAUUAGGGAGGGUCAACUAUGCGAGGCCAUUUUACAUAGGGAACUUGAGCAUCCAAAAAUUUUGGUACCCAUGGGGGUCCUGAAACCAAUUCCCAAAGGCCGAAUGUAUAUGUAGCAUUUCUGCAAGCACAUGUAAGAAACUAUUGGACAGUGGUUGCCCUUCUGGAGGGGCAUGGAGGUCUCAAAGGCUGAUCCUGGGAGUUCCUGUUGUGGCUCAGUGGUUAACGAACCCGACUAGUAUCCAUGAAGAUGUGGGUUCGAUCCAUGGCACUGCUCACUGGGUUAAAGAUGCAGCAUUGCCGUGAACUAUGGUGUAGGUCGCAGACGCAGCUUGCAGCUCGGAUAACAUGUUGCUGUGGCUGUGGUGUGGGACAGCAGCUACAGCUCUGAUUCACCCCUUAGCCUGGGAACCUCCAUAUGCUGCAGGUAUAGCCUUAAAAAAAAAAAAAAAAGACAAAUGUCGAAAUCUGAUCCUGGAGGGACAGGUCUCCAUACUUUUUUGUGCUAUUGGAAUUUCUUUCAACUUUUUAGAUAUAAAAAUAGUUAAAAUGUCUUGAGUAACAGAGCAUUCUGAGAUUGAAUUGUCCUAUUUCUCAACCCCUGGUGGCUGGACGCAGGGACAUAAAUGCUGCUCUAAGACUGCCAGGAGCAGCCAGUGUCUCUGAGGGUGGAAGUGGGCAUUUGCACAAGCAUAUCCAGGAAGCAGCUGGAAGGCCUUCCUGGGGCAGGGAAGUGAGAACCUGAAUCCUGGCUUAGAACACCAAGGGAGAUAAACCAGAUAUCUAUCUCAUUGCAAGGAUUUCAGCCAAAAAUGAUAAGCUUUCUGUUGAAGAAUGAAAAAACCCAUCCCAUGGUGUGGAAGAUUUAUAUUGAUGGGCUAUAUAUCUAUAAUAUAUAUUAACGUGUAAAAAAUUUCCUUAGAAAAGACAAAAAAAAAAAAAAAGGAACAAAAAGACAAAAAAAAAAAAAAAAUUUCCUUAGUAGGUUGGGAGACAAGCCUUUUAAGAGGAUGUGGGACCAAGGGAGAGAGUACCGAGAAGUGGGAGUUCUGCGCUAAGAAUAGGACUGCCAUAUGUAGUUUUUAGCCAGACAGUCCAGCAUUUGGUCUUUAUUUCCACAAACAAGAACAUGCCAUCAAGGAUCCUACCUGAGAAUGUCCAUAUUCAUUUUGAGAAUUGGACUCUGUGCUAGUGAUCUGACUCCUUGGUUGGAGUCCUGAGCAGAAGUCUCACUACCCAUUCUUUUGUGUGUGAGGGAUGGUGGGGAGAAGACUUUACCUGUCCCAGGGAAGUGCCCUGCUCACUGGCUUUGCCAGAGGAGGAGGCCCAGGUCUGUCCCUAAGGAAGUUCUCAGGACAGAGGGUUGGGGAAGGAUCCCAAUUCUGGGAUCAAAGGAUAAGGAACCUGGAGUGCAUAAGAUCCUUGUGGAGUCAUAAGUGCCUGGGAAAACAGUUCAGGGAGUGAUCUUAGGCAGGAUUAUGUGUUCAGCUAACCUUGGGCCCAAAUGUCUGAUUCAGGCUAAGAGAGAAAUCAGGGUCUUAUGUCUUCAAAAGGUGCAAGAGACAAAAUAUCAAUGGGAAAAAGGGCUGGGGGCUUUCAGCAAACGGCUAGGACCCAGAUGGGGGCAGGGAGUGGGCCAUGGAAGAGACUUUAAGCUGAGACACAUGGGGAUGGGGCAGGGGCUGCACCUGGCCCAGGCAGGUGACUCUGGAGAAAGGCCCUUACAGGUGCCCUAGCCCAGCCUCUUCCUGAUGGAAACUGAGGCCCAGGGAGUAGACUGACUUGCUCUGUAUCAGACGUCAGGACUGAGCAUGGUCCAUGACGCAGACUCCAGCCUCCCAAUCCAGCGGUUCUCUGGGAGGAAGGCAGAGGUGAAGCCCUUGACCAGAGAAACUCAUCCUCUCUUCCUUCCUAGAAACGUGUUUCUGCUGAACUGCAUGGAAAAAGAGAGAUGAGUCCUAAUUUGUCUCAUAAUAUUCCAGUUCCCCUUUGUCAAUGAUUGGCCUGAGGGUGGGCAUGUGAUUUAGUUCUGGUCACUAAGACACAAAGGGAAGCAUGCAGAGGUUUCUGAGAAAGAUUUUGCUUUCCUAAUAAACAGGAGAGAUGCAUUAGGUGCCAUCGUGCCCCCGUCCCUCACACCUUUCUUCCUUGCUGCCUUCAGUGCAGAUGUGUAUAGCAUGAGGGUCAAGCAUGACAGUAAAGGCUUGAUGCCCUUAAGAUGGCAGAGUGGACCAUAGGUGG
rnacentral:lncRNA from 1 species